rnacentral:rRNA from 1 species
UACGUAGGAUCCAAGCGUUGUCCGGAUUUACUGGGCGUAAAGGGUGCGUAGGCGGUCUGUUAAGUCUUGUGUGAAAUCUCCCGGCUUAACUGGGAGGGGUCAUAGGAUACUGGCAGACUCGAGGGCAGCAGAGGAGAGUGGAAUUCCAGGAGUAGUGGUGAAAUGCGUAGAUACCUGGAGGAACACCAGUGGCGAAGGCGACUCUCUGGGCUGUUCCUGACGCUGAGGCACGAAAGCGUGGGUAGCAAACCGG